CUGCUACUCCCAGCUGCCACUCAGGCUGCCUUGUCCUGAUACUGGUCAGUUCCGCAUGUGCUGGAUGUAAUCUCUCCACAUACAUCUGCUUUCGCACGCUUUACCAGCAGUGGGUAUCCGGUCCUGAGUAGAUGCUGAACAAGUCUGAGGAAGGAUGAAGAGGGAAGGAGAAGGAAAGACAGGCGGAAGCCACCGCCUUCCUACGCCGGCCUCCUUUGCCCUCUUCGCACGCCAGGGCUCUGGGUCCAUUCGGUUCGCCCUCAAAUUCAGUCCUCUCUGAAAUUGCAGAAGUCUCUGAAGCAUAUAAUUUGUGGCUUCCAAUGAGUUUGAACUUCAUGCUUGAAGUGAUGCACAAGCCCUGGAUAUCCUGGUACGCGCAGAAACUGAACCAAGGCACAGCCGACAGUUGCUUCAACUUGGCAAAGAUU